rnacentral:rRNA from 1 species
UACGUAGGGACCGAGCGUUGUCCGGAAUCAUUGGGCGUAAAGAGCGUGUAGGCGGCCUUUUAAGUCCUGCGUGAAAUCCUGCGGCUCAACCGCAGACGGUCGUGGGAAACUGGAAGGCUAGAGUGCGGGAGAGGAGAGUGGAAUUCCCGGUGUAGCGGUGAAAUGCGCAGAUAUCGGGAAGAACACCCGUGGCGAAGGCGGCUCUCUGGUACGGAACUGACGCUGAGACGCGAAAGCGUGGGGAGCGAACAGG